AUGGCGGGGGUCCUGGAUGCUUUGGCAUCCUACAUGACCAGCAUGCUCUCCGAGAUGGCCAAAGAGGAGGUCGCCAUGCUAAUCGGCGUGUCCGACGGGAUCAAAGACCUGAGCAUCAAGCUUGGGGACCUCAAGAAUUUCCUUGCUGAUGCUGAUAGGAGGAACAUCACCGAUGAGAGUGUGCGUGGGUGGGUGGGGGAACUGAAGCGUGCCAUGUACCUGGCCACUGACAUCGUCGACCUAUGUCAGCUCAAGGCCAUGGAGCAAGGUCAAACCAAGGACAGGGGGUGCCUUAACCCUCUGCUCGUUUGCAUGCGGAAUCCCCUGCACGCCCAUGACAUCGGCACCCGCAUCAAGAUGCUCAACCAAAAUUUGGAUGAUAUUUGCAAGAGGGGCAGCAGUUUCAAUUUCAUCAAGCUAGAAGCCUACCAAGACCGA
rnacentral:rRNA from 1 species